rnacentral:rRNA from 1 species
ACCGGCGGCCCGAGUGGUGGCCACUAUUAUUGGGUCUAAAGGGUCCGUAGCCGGUUUGGUCAGUCUUCCGGGAAAUCUGACGGCUUAACCGUUAGGCUUUCGGGGGAUACUGCCAGGCUUGGGACCGGGAGAGGUAAGAGGUACUACGGGGGUAGGAGUGAAAUCUUGUAAUCCCUGUGGGACCACCAGUGGCGAAGGCGUCUUACCAGAACGGGUCCGACGGUGAGGGACGAAAGCUGGGGGCACGAACCG